rnacentral:rRNA from 1 species
AGGGCACCACCAGGAGUGGAGCCUGCGGCUUAAUUUGACUCAACACGGGGAAACUUACCCGGCCUGGACACUGGAAGGAUUGACAGAUUGAGAGCUCUUUCUUGAUUCAGUGGGUGGUGGUGCAUGGCCGUUCGUAGUUGGUGGAGCGAUUUGUCUGGUUAAUUCCGAUAACGAACGAGACUCUAGCCUAUUAAAUAGGCUCCCGGCUUUUAAACGCCGGGAGGACUUCUUAGAGGGACAGGUGGCGGUUCAGCCGCACGAAAGAGAGCAAUAACAGGUCUGUGACGCCCUUUGUUGUCCGGGGCCGCACGCGCGCUACACUGAAGAGAUCAGCGUGCUUUAUGUUCCUGCUCCGACCGGAGUGGGGAACCCAGUGAACCUUCUUCGUGAUUGGGAUAGAAGAUUGUAAUUAUUCUUCUUGAACGAGGAAUUCCCAGUAAAUGCGAGUCAUAAGCUCGCGUUGAUUACGUCCCUGCCCUUUGUACACACCGCCCGUCGCUACUACCGAUUGAACGAUUU